CAGGACCACACAGAUUCAGGGCUGGAAGGGAUCUCAGACCAUCCAGUCCAACCCCAGUACCCUGGGAAGAAAACCGAGGUGAGGCGGUGUCAUGUGACCUGCCUGGUCCCGUGGAGAGCCGGGCAGCGUGGGGGCAGAGGCUGGCCCUCCUGAUCUGCACCCAGGCGGCUUCUACACCACCCUGCAGCAGGCCUGGCCACCGGCCUCAGCGCUUCUGGGAGAAGGUCAGCCAGGUGGAAGAUGGAGAGGGCUUCUGGACUGAGCCCUGGAGGGGGGCUAGGGGCCACCAGCAGGCAGAUGAGCCCUGGGACCCAGCUGGCCAACCCACCUGACCACGGUGACAAGGACUGCUUGGGAAGGAUAAGCCCAGGUUCGGGAAAGCAAAUUCAGGCUGCAGGACAGCUGCCCGGGCCCCCCACAAGCCUGGCACCAGCCCAGGGAAGACUGAGGAGCCUCACUCCAUGGGGACUGAGCUCCUUCCCUUGCGUUCUGUUCCACACACUUUUUGGGCUGGAAGAAUCCCCUGGCUAGAGAAGCUCAUGUCCUGGUGGUGGAAGAGAUGCCGCCCUACAGCCCAAGGCCUUAUGCAAAGCAGCAAACACCUGAACACAGCGAACCUGAAGGUAUAGGGCAUCUUCAGGCUGCUACUGAGGCGGUCCUGCCGCACUCAACCCAGAACCUCAUCACUAAAAGGAACCUCAUGGUUCAGGUAACACAAUCCUUCAAGGUACGGAUGAGCAAGCCCAGGUCCAGAGGCAGUACGGGACCCAUCUGAGACCAUGAGGCCAUGUACCAAGCAGUCAUUCC
rnacentral:lncRNA from 10 species